AACGAACGCUGGCGGCAGGCCUAACACAUGCAAGUCGAGCGAGGACUUCGGUCCUAGCGGCGGACGGGUGAGUAACGCGUGGGAACGUGCCCUUUGCUUCGGAAUAGCCCUGGGAAACUGGGAGUAAUACCGGAUGAGCCCUUUGGGGGAAAGAUUUAUCGGCGAAGGAUCGGCCCGCGUUGGAUUAGGUAGUUGGUGGGGUAAUGGCCUACCAAGGCGACGAUCCAUAGCUGGUUUGAGAGGAUGAUCAGCCACACUGGGACUGAGACACGGCCCAGACUCCUACGGAGGGCAGCAGUGGGGAAUCUUAGGCAAUGGAGGAAGACCUAAUCUAGCCAUGCCGCGUGAGCGAUGAAGGCCUUAGGGUUGUAAAGCUCUUUCAGCUGGGAAGAUAAUGACGGUACCAGCAGAAGAAGCCCCGGCUAACUCCGUG
rnacentral:rRNA from 1 species